GGCGCCGGCGCCAAACCCGAAAUGGGCAAGGCGGCGGCCGAGGAAGCCGAAGCGCGAAUCCGCGAAUCCAUUGCCGGCGCCA
rnacentral:tRNA from 1 species